rnacentral:rRNA from 1 species
GAUCAUUUUAUCUAUACAGUGAGUGGCUAACGGGUGAGUAACACGUGGGUAACCUGCCCAGAAGUGGGGGAUAACACCUGGAAACAGAUGCUAAUACCGCAUAACAAAAUUAACCGCAUGGUUGAUUUUUAAAAGAUGGCUUCGGCUAUCACUUCUGGAUGGACCCGCGGCGUAUUAGCUAGUUGGUGAGAUAAAGGCUCACCAAGGCAGUGAUACGUAGCCGACCUGAGAGGGUAAUCGGCCACAUUGGGACUGAGACACGGCCCAGACUCCUACGGGAGGCAGCAGUAGGGAAUCUUCCACAAUGGACGCAAGUCUGAUGGAGCAACGCCGCGUGAGUGAUGAAGGCUUUCGGGUCGUAAAACUCUGUUGUUGGAGAAGAACGUGUGUGAGAGUAACUGCUCAUGCAGUGACGGUAUCCAACCAGAAAGCCACGGCUAACUACGUGCCAGCAGCCGCGGUAAUACGUAGGUGGCAAGCGUUAUCCGGAUUUAUUGGGCGUAAAGCGAGCGCAGGCGGUCUUUUAAGUCUAAUGUGAAAGCCUUCGGCUUAACCGAAGAAGUGCAUUGGAAACUGGGAGACUUGAGUGCAGAAGAGGAGAGUGGAACUCCAUGUGUAGCGGUGAAAUGCGUAGAUAUAUGGAAGAACACCAGUGGCGAAGGCGGCUCUCUGGUCUGCAACUGACGCUGAGGCUCGAAAGCAUGGGUAGCGAACAGGAUUAGAUACCCUGGUAGUCCAUGCCGUAAACGAUGAAUGCUAAGUGUUGGAGGGUUUCCGCCCUUCAGUGCUGCAGCUAACGCAUUAAGCAUUCCGCCUGGGGAGUACGACCGCAAGGUUGAAACUCAAAAGAAUUGACGGGGGCCCGCACAAGCGGUGGAGCAUGUGGUUUAAUUCGAAGCUACGCGAAGAACCUUACCAGGUCUUGACAUCUUCUGCUAACCUAAGAGAUUAGGCGUUCCCUUCGGGGACGGAAUGACAGGUGGUGCAUGGUUGUCCUCACCUCGUGUCGUGAGAUGUUGGGUUAAGU